AUGACCUUGGUGCCGACGAGUGGUGGACGGGUGAGUAACACGUAGGAAUCUGCCCAACAGAGGGGGACAACCCGGAGAAAUCCGGGCUAAUACCGCAUACGCCCUAUUGGGGAAAGCGGGGGAUCUUCGGACCUCGCGCUGUUGGAGGAGCCUGCGUCGGAUUAGCUUGUUGGUGAGGUAAUGGCUCACCAAGGCUACGAUCCGUAGCUGGUCUGAGAGGAUGAUCAGCCACACUGGGACUGAGACACGGCCCAGACUCCUACGGGAGGCAGCAGUGGGGAAUAUUGCACAAUGGGCGAAAGCCUGAUGCAGCCAUACCGCGUGUGUGAAGAAGGCCUUCGGGUUGUAAAGCACUUUCGUUAGGGAAGAAAGGUGCAAGGUUAAUAACCUCGUACUGUGACGGUACCUAAAUAAGAAGCACCGGC
rnacentral:rRNA from 1 species